rnacentral:rRNA from 1 species
GGACUACCGGGGUUUCUAAUCCUGUUUGCUCCCCACGCUUUCGCGCCUCAGCGUCAGUAUCGGACCAGGUCGCCGCCUUCGCCACCGGUGUUCUUCCCAAUAUCUACGAAUUUCACCUCUACACUGGGAAUUCCACGACCCUCUUCCGAACUCAAGCCUGCACGUAUCAAACGCAGCCCCCAGGUUAAGCCCAGGAAUUUCACGUCUGACUGUGCAAACCGCCUACGCGCCCUUUACGCCCAGUCAAUCCGAGCAACGCUAGCCCCCUUCGUAUUACCGCGGCGGCUGGCAC